rnacentral:rRNA from 1 species
GAGGAAAAGAAACUAACAAGGAUUCCCCUAGUAACUGCGAGUGAAGCGGGAAAAGCUCAAAUUUAAAAUCUGACGGUCUCGCGGCCGUCCGAGUUGUAAUCUGGAGAAGCGUUUAUCCGCGUCGGACCGUGUACAAGUCUUCUGGAAGGGAGCGUCAUAGAGGGUGAGAAUCCCGUCUUUGACACGGACAACCGAUGCUUUUGUGAUGCGCUCUCGAAGAGUCGAGUUGUUUGGGAAUGCAGCUCAAAAUGGGUGGUAAAUUCCAUCUAAAGCUAAAUAUUGGCGAGAGACCGAUAGCGAACAAGUACCGUGAGGGAAAGAUGAAAAGCACUUUGGAAAGAGAGUUAAACAGUACGUGAAAUUGUUGAAAGGGAAACGUUUGAAGUCAGUCGCGUCGGCCGAGACUCAACCUCGCUUCUUGCUUGGUGCACUUCUCGGUUGACGGGUCAGCAUCAAUUUUGACCGUCGGAUAAAGGUUGAGGGAAUGUGGCAUCCUUCGGGAUGUGUUAUAGACCUCGAUUCGGAUACGACGAUUGGGAUUGAGGAACUUCGGCGCUUUGCGUCCAGGAUGCUGGCAUAAUGGCUUUAAGCGACCCGUCUG